UCCGGCUCUCUCUCUCCCACUUUCUCCCCGUCCCUCUCUCCACAUGUUCCCACGGGUUCGCAGCCGGUCUCUCUUUUUUCCCCUUCCCCCCCUUUCUGUACUCUGUGCUGCACUCUCUUUCUCUGCCCUCAUGGCUCUGCUUCUGUCUGUCUGCCUGUCUACAUGUCCACUCCUCGGCCUCUACCCCAUUUCAAGGUCCUCACUCCUCUCCCUUCGCCCAGUAAACACCCUUUAUACCAGAUCUCCCUUACACUCUGUCAUGGUGUAGGAUGCAAGGCUUAACCAACUACACAGCCAAUAUUUUGCCUUUCGCUGGGUGUGUGCCUAAGGUCAGACUCGCCUCUUUCCCCUCCUUUCCACCUCUUUAAGAAAAAGAUGUCUGCCUUCCAUAGUCUCGCCCUUCUGGCUGCAAAGGAUGCUGGGAAGUGUAGUCUUUUAUUAGGAAACUAACUAGGAUAAGGGAGGAUAUGGCAGGAAUAUAGGGCACUAUUGCUCAUUCUUGCCCCAGGCUGCUCCGUGACUGGACUGGGAAAGCUCUGCUAUCUUCUCUGGUAAGUAAGUGGAGCCUGUGCCUGAUCCGAGAAAUGCUGACUAGGAAAGGCCUAGGGCAUUGAAGGAAGUCAGAGAGGCAGGAGAAGGAAGGAGAGGAAGAACUUACAGAAUUCAGGCAAGAGGGGCAGUUUUGGCAGCUGGGAAAGGGUGGAUCAUGUGAGAGACCCAUGAUUUCCGAGACGUUUGGAGAAGUAACUUAAUAAAAGACGAAGUCUUUGGCACUAAGAUGGGACAUCCUGGAUUAACGCUGUGGGACACAGGCUGAUGUGGAACCUGAUUGGGAGUCAGAAGCUUUGAUAGAUAAACCGUGUGUGUGUGUGUGUGUGUGUGUGUGUGUGUGUGUGUGUGUGUGUGUGUGUGUGUGUGUGUGUGUUUAUUCUGCAGAAGUCACUCAGUGGCUAAAUCUCUUUCAUUUCUAAUAUUCAAGAAUGGAAAGAUAUUGCACGUCUAGGCCCGCUGUUCCCCUCAGAUGCUCAUUUUACUUUUAGACCUGCUUCUGAAGGUACCUGGCUAAUCACAUUAAAUAUGAAGUUCAAAAGCCAAGUGCAUCGAGUUGCCCUUGUGAUCCAGAGCUGGGGAGGUGGGGCCAGGUCAGUUUGUGAAGCUCACUGGCAAGCCAACCUAGCUUGUAGACAGGCAGAAUGAUUCAGACAAACAAACAAAAAAAGGCAGUUCGGGCAGUUGAGGAUGUGGGGUAAGGGGAUCAGUCAUCCAUUGCUGAUGGGACUGCAAACUUGUACAACCACGAUGAAAAUCAGUGUGGUGGUUCCCAGGAAGCCGGGAAUGGAUCUAUCUCAAGAUCAAACUAUGUCACUCUUGGACGUAUAUCCAAAGGAGUCUAUGGCCUACUACAGAGACACUCGCUCAACUGUGCUCAAUGCUCUUCUACUCAAAACAGUCGGAACUCGCAAACAUCCUCGAUGCCCAUCAACAGAGGACUAUUAAUCAGGAACGUGUGGUACAUUUACACAGUGGAAUAUUAUUUAGUCAUUAAAAGUUGAAUCGGAUACUUUACAGGAAUAUAGAUGGAGCUAGGAACACAAUCCUCCCAAGCGAGACAACCCAGACCGGGAAAGACAAAUGUGGUAUAUGCAUUCCCUGAUGUGUGGAUGUUAGCUUUUAGUCUCGGAAGGCAUGGUGCUACCUGAAUACUAGAGAGGUUAGGAUAAGGAACACGGUAGGAGGGAAGGACCAUGCGAGGAAGAGGAAAUAGAAUAUAUAUAGCUGGAGAAAUGGGGGUCAAUGGAGACUGGAAUAGGAGUAUCAGAUCUCCAUGGGGGAGAAGGGAGGUGUAAGGGAGGAACUUUGGGAGGGACAGGCAACACUAGAAGCCAUCUCUGAGAGCUCAUAUGGAAACCUGCUACAGUAGAAGGUUCUUUAAAUAUAUACAUAGAUGGAAGAAAUCUAAAUCUGUAGCAGGGCAAAGGUUUCUUCAUCUUGCCGUGGCUGGAGCCGUCUCUUGUUUAAACUGGAACUUACUCCUUCCCCUUUCUCACUCCAUGAAAAGUCCCUGAGGACAGCACCCAACCCUGUUCUAGAAACUCCGGGUUAAAGUGCCCCAGCUGACUGCGUGUUCUCAGCUCUUGUUAAACUGCUAGCUUGCUCCCCCUUGCAAAUGCCAACCAGGCAUUUUUCUCUUUUUCUCUGCUCUUUGACUUAAAAAAAAAAAGUAAUUCCCUGUAAUAUGCAUUUGGGGCUGCUCUGGGAGAAGUGGUUUUUUGUUUUUCUCUCCAGGCAGUCACUGGCUGGCUCAAUACAGACUUUCAAUGUAAACUUUGGUCAUGCCGAAUGGUUUUGGGAUCUCUACUCCAAACAAAUAGAGUUGCCAAAAGAUGGGGGAGGCAAAAACCUCAACUAGACAUCUCUGGACACCAAAUGAAACCUCCAGUUAGGAAUGGGUUACGUCUGAGUCUGAUUAAGUUUUUGGCCAAAGGGUCCCAGUGGAAACCUGAAAACAACUCAAGUGAUUGCUGGGGCUUCUGGUUGUCUCCCACAAACUGACGGUAAGUCUCUCUUGGUAAACGCCAAAUGAAAAUAUCUCAUUGAAUACAGAGAAGCUAGUCCCUAACUAGAUCCUUCACCCUUAGGGAUUAGCGUUCAUGGUACUGGAAAGUACUCUGCAUACUACUAGAGAACAGUAAGCACUAACCCUGCUAUGAACCCUACAGUCUACAAUGGUGACCUGCCUGCAGGAUAAACGGGUAUGAGGCACAGAUGUUGAAGGAAAAACCAACCACUAGCUGAUUGGUUUCAAGGCCCACACCACGAAAUGGAUCCAUGUUGACACUGCUCUAGUGACCAAGAACCUAAAAUUAGAGAGGCCACAGACCUAGGAGAAAACCAAAUACUAUUGUUCUGUCAAGAGAACACAGCAAGAACAUGACUCUUAACAUUCAGCUGCACUCAUAGGUCAACGUCUCAGUCAGCCAUCAUCAGAGAAGCUUCCUUCUGUAAUGGAUGGCAGCAAAUACAACUGGGCAGUGUGCAAAGAGUAAAGAGCCUUGAGACAUUCAGCCCUAACUGGUGGGCUCCAUUAAACUCCUUCCUUUGGGGCUCAGGGAAGAAGUGGAAAGAGUAAGAGCUAGAGAGGAUGGAGGACACCGAGGAAACAAGGCCUUCCAGACACAACAGGACCGACACAGGAACUCACAGAGACUUGACCGACACAGGAACUCGCAGAGACUUGACAUCGUGCACAGGGCCUGCACAGCUCUAAACCAGGUCCCAGCACUGAGAAGAAGUGGUCUCACAUCCCUGACCAAGACGCUAUCUCCAAUUAACAACUGCUCCAAAGGAAAAUCCAAUAGAGUCUCACUGGGUAUAUAAGCCACACUUGAGAACAGGCCCCAUGCCCAACAGUAAACAGCCAGCACCAAAGGAACUCAAUGGUGUUUUAUAGAUUUUUUUUGUCUCAUAUUGCCUUGACUAGUCUUUUUUUUUUUUUUAAACUUAUUGGUCUUUGCUUGUAGGUUAUGGUUUCCGAAUUUGUAUUUUUAUGGCAUAUCUCUGUGUGUGUCUGCGUGUGCAUUUUUCAUGUUCUUUGUCUGUUUCUUUCUUGGUUUGCUGGCUAAUUUUGUUUUAUUCUUGUCUGUUUUUUUUUAUUUGUCUCUUUGUUUUCUUCAGAGAGAAAGAAACAAGGUGUUGAGUUGGGAGGGUCUGGGAGAAGUGGAAGGGGAGCUGGAGUCAGAGUAUGUUGCAUGAAAAUAACUUCAUUUUCAGUAAAUAAAAUAAGAGGGGACUGCGUACAAAGAACAGCAUCCAGUGUUGUCUUCUAGUCUUUACAUGCAUGUGGACAUACGUGAUGCAUACGUGCAUAUCACACACACACACACACACACACACACAAAGGGUAGACUCACAAAGUGUUGUUUGUUGACUCUAUAACUCAAUAGAAAACAUUUAAAUGUGGUCUUUUUUUUUUUUUUGCAUUAGUUUCAGAUCCACCCUCUUCCUUACCUGACGAACUUUGCGCCCCUUUUUAUAUAGUUCAAGAAAAGGAAAAUAAGCAGAUAUACAUUUCACGACUAGUGCGUGACUGACUGUAAGCUAACAUCCCACUACAUGCCAGCGUCCUUCAGCCUCAUGCAGCCUUCUUGGCCGUAAUGAGGAAGUGAAAUUGCAAAUGGAUUGCAAAUGAAGAAAUCUCACCCAGGGGUGAUUUCCUCUUGGGCUACCAAUUAGGCUGUACAGACUGUGGUGCCAGGGGAAGGCCAGAACUUGUCAUGGAAGGUGAAAGCUGGGAUCCAUUGAACUGUUUGCUUGGAUGACAUGUAGACUUCCAAACAAAGGGUUUGGCAAAACGGCUUAAUGAGUAGAGCGACUUGCUGUCAAGCAUGAUGACCUGGGUUUCCUUGCCAAAGCAUGAUAACCUGGGUUUCCUCGCCAGAACAUAGACGCUGGAAGAAGAGAACCGACUUCUGCAAGCUGUCACCCUACCACACACUCGUUUAUAAACAAGUGCAUAAGUUACUGUAAAAAUUCAAAUUAAAGUCAUUCAUGAUCACCUGUGUUUUUUUCUGAUUCUCUCAAUCCUUAUUGGGGAGGAAAA